GAUGAACGCUGGCGGCGUGCCUAAUACAUGCAAGUCGAGCGAACAGACGAGGAGCUUGCUCCUUUGACGUUAGCGGCGGACGGGUGAGUAACACGUGGAUAACCUACCUAUAAGACUGGGAUAACUUCGGGAAACCGGAGCUAAUACCGGAUAACAUGUUGAACCGCAUGGUUCAACAGUGAAAGACGGUCUUGCUGUCACUUAUAGAUGGAUCCGCGCCGCAUUAGCUAGUUGGUAAGGUAACGGCUCACCAAGGCAACGAUGCGUAGCCGACCUGAGAGGGUGAUCGGCCACACUGGAACUGAGACACGGUCCAGACUCCUACGGGAGGCAGCAGUAGGGAAUCUUCCGCAAUGGGCGAAAGCCUGACGGAGCAACGCCGCGUGAGUGAAGAAGGUCUUCGGAUCGUAAAACUCUGUUAUUAGGGAAGAACAAAUGUGUAAGUAACUAUGCACGUCUUGACGGUACCUAAUCAGAAAGCCACGGCUAACUACGUG
rnacentral:rRNA from 1 species